GAUGAACGCUGGCGGCGUGCCUAAUACAUGCAAGUCGAGCGAACAGACGAGUAGCUUGCUCCUCUGACGUUAGCGGCGGACGGGUGAGUAACACGUGGAUAACCUACCUAUAAGACUGGGAUAACUUCGGGAAACCGGAGCUAAUACCGGAUAAUAUAUUGAACCGCAUGGUUCAAUAGUGAAAGACGGUUUUGCUGUCACUUAUAGAUGGAUCCGCGCCGCAUUAGCUAGUUGGUAAGGUAACGGCUUACCAAGGCAACGAUGCGUAGCCGACCUGAGAGGGUGAUCGGCCACACUGGAACUGAGACACGGUCCAGACUCCUACGGGAGGCAGCAGUAGGGAAUCUUCCGCAAUGGGCGAAAGCCUGACGCAGCAACGCCGCGUGAGUGAUGAAGGUCUUCGGAUCGUAAAACUCUUUUAUUAGGGAAGAAAAAAAGUAGAAGUAACUAUGCACGUCUUGACGGUACCUAAUCAGAAAGCCACGGCUAACUACGUG
rnacentral:rRNA from 1 species